ACGCCCCUGACUACGCGUGGAUUUUCCGGUUCUGACUGAGAGUCACAGGCAACGUAAACAAGCGUUAUAUUUCUCUAUAAACGAUGGUGUCUGUACUGCCUUACCACUUCAAGCUCGAUCCAGAGAGUUCAGACGGCCGUUACGAUAUAAACGAUCUCCGUCAAUGAACGCGAUUGGAUUUAACUUUUUUAGGUGUCCUUAGCUCUGCCAGAAUGCUAAACGAAGACGAAAAUGUGUUGCAAAGACAUCCAAAAGGUUUUAAGGAGAAUGCAACAUGUUCCAGGGCCUCUUACCUGCGUGAUUCAUCAUCCAGGUUUUGCACAAAUUGUCUAAAUCCCUACACACAGAACAUUUAUUGUACCGACUAUAAGCCUUUGAGGUGCAGGACUAGAAUACGCUUGGAGCUUCCUGAUCAGAUCGGUCACAAUUUUGGCUUUCGACGACCCCUGCACUGAAGAUGGCAUGCAAUCACGUCCUCCUUUGAAGGUCUCUCAAACUGUGAUGCCAGGUCCAUUGGAAUCGGG